rnacentral:siRNA from 1 species
UCAGAUAUUUCACGAAGAUAUC